rnacentral:rRNA from 1 species
AUUGAACGCUGGCGGCAGGCUUAACACAUGCAAGUCGAGCGGAGAUGAGGUGCUUGCACCUUAUCUUAGCGGCGGACGGGUGAGUAAUGCUUAGGAAUCUGCCUAUUAGUGGGGGACAACAUUCCGAAAGGAAUGCUAAUACCGCAUACGUCCUACGGGAGAAAGCAGGGGAUCUUCGGACCUUGCGCUAAUAGAUGAGCCUAAGUCGGAUUAGCUAGUUGGUGGGGUAAAGGCCUACCAAGGCGACGAUCUGUAGCGGGUCUGAGAGGAUGAGCCGGCACAAUGGGACUGAGACACGGCCCAGACUCCUACGGGAGGCAGCAGUGGGGAAUAUUGGAGAAUGGGGGGAAACCUGAUCCAGCCAUGCCGCGUGUGUGAAGAAGGCCUUAUGGUUGUAAAGCACUUUAAGCGAGGAGGAGGCUACUGAGACUAAUACUCUUGGAUAGUGGACGUUACUCGCAGAAUAAGCACCGGCUAACUCUGUGCCAGCCGCCGCGGUAA